GAAAUGCGAUAAGCAGUGUGAAUUGCAGAAUUCAGUGAAUCAUCGAAUCUUUGAACGCACAUUGCGCCCCUUGGUAUUCCAUGGGGCAUGCCUGUUCGAGCGUCAUUUGUACCCUCAAGCUCUGCUUGGUGUUGGGUGUUUGUCCCGUCUCCGCGCGUGGACUCGCCCCAAAGUGAUUGGCAGCCGGCGUACUGGUCCCGGAGCGCAGCACAUGUCGCGCAAACGAGUGCCUUGGUACGGCGGCGUCCAUAAGCCCCUCUCUCACGCUCUUGACCUCGGAUCAGGUAGGGAUACCCGCUGAACUUAAGC
rnacentral:misc_RNA from 1 species